ACCCGCUGAACUUAAGCAUAUCAAUAAGCGGAGGAAAAGAAACCAACAGGGAUUGCCCUAGUAACGGCGAGUGAAGCGGCAACAGCUCAAAUUUGAAAUCUGGCUCUUUUAGGGUCCGAGUUGUAAUUUGCAGAGGGCGCUUUGGCUUUGGCAGCGGUCCAAGUUCCUUGGAACAGGACGUCACAGAGGGUGAGAAUCCCGUACGUGGUCGCUAGCUAUUGCCGUGUAAAGCCCCUUCGACGAGUCGAGUUGUUUGGGAAUGCAGCUCUAAAUGGGAGGUAAAUUUCUUCUAAAGCUAAAUAUUGGCCAGAGACCGAUAGCGCACAAGUAGAGUGAUCGAAAGAUGAAAAGCACUUUGGAAAGAGAGUCAAACAGCACGUGAAAUUGUUGAAAGGGAAGCGCUUGCAGCCAGACUUGCUUGCAGUUGCUCAUCCGGGCUUUUGCCCGGUGCACUCUUCGGUAGGCAGGCCAGCAUCAGUUUGGGCGGUGGGAUAAAGGUCUCUGACACGUUCCUUCCUUCGGGUUGGCCAUAUAGGGGAGACGUCAUACCACCAGCCUGGACUGAGGUCCGCGCAUCUGCUAGGAUGCUGGCGUAAUGGCUGUAAGCGGCCCGUCUUGAAACACGGACCAAGGAGUCUAACAUCUAUGCGAGUGUUUGGGUGUCAAGCCCGAGCGCGUAAUGAAAGUGAACGGAGGUGGGAACCCGCAAGGGCGCACCAUCGACCGAUCCUGAAGUUUACGGAAGGAUUUGAGUAAGAGCAUGGCUGUUGGGACCCGAAAGAUGGUGAACUAUGCUUGAAUAGGGUGAAGCCAGAGGAAACUCUGGUGGAGGCUCGCAGCGGUUCUGACGUGCAAAUCGAUCGUCAAA
rnacentral:rRNA from 1 species